CACGUAGGGUGCGAGCGUUGUCCGGAAUUAUUGGGCGUAAAGAGCUCGUAGGCGGUGUGUCGCGUCGGCCGUGAAAACCUGCAGCUUAACUGUGGGCUUGCGGUCGAUACGGGCAUCACUGGAGUUCGGCAGGGGAGACUGGAAUUCCUGGUGUAGCGGUGAAAUGCGCAGAUAUUAGGAGGAACACCGGUGGCGAAGGCGGGUCUCUGGGCCGAUACUGACGCUGAGGAGCGAAAGCGUGGGGAGCGAACAGG
rnacentral:rRNA from 1 species